GCUUAAUGCUGGAGGACACCGAGUGAAAAAUGCCUUUUAUUAUGCUCUGAGAAAUCAUGAACCAUACCUCUUCAGAGAUUUGGGUGGUGAGGCAAUGGAUUACAUCGAUAACAACCAGCUCCAGUUAAACUGAAUACCCCCUGCACCCAAGAAACUGAAGACCCCUGCAACCAAGACAUGAAAACAGACGUCACUUGGAAAAUAAGAUGCAG